rnacentral:rRNA from 1 species
GACGAACGCUGGCGGCGUGCUUAACACAUGCAAGUCGAACGGAAAGGCCCUGCUUUUGUGGGGUGCUCGAGUGGCGAACGGGUGAGUAACACGUGAGUAACCUGCCCUUGACUUUGGGAUAACUUCAGGAAACUGGGGCUAAUCCCGGAUAGGCGCUCCUGCUGCAUGGUGGGGGUUGGAAAGUUUCGGCGGUUGGGGAUGGACUCGCGGCUUAUCAGCUUGUUGGUGGGGUAGUGGCUUACCAAGGCUUUGACGGGUGGCCGGCCUGAGAGGGUGACCGGCCACAUGGGGACUGGGAUACGGCCCAGACUCCUACGGGAGGCAGCAGUGGGGAAUAUUGCACAAUGGGCGGAAGCCUGAUGCAGCAACGCCGCGUGCGGGAUGACGGCCUUCGGGUUGUAAACCGCUUUCGCCUGUGACGAAGCGUGAGUGACGGUAAUGGGUAAAGAAGCACCGGCUAACUACGUG